rnacentral:rRNA from 1 species
UACGGAGGGUGCGAGCGUUAAUCGGAAUUACUAGGGCGUAAAGACGCAUGCAGGCGGCCGUCGUUAAGUUACAGAUGUGAAAGACCCGGGGCGUUAACCUCGGAAUUGCAUUUGAAACUAGGCAGGCUAGAGUCUUGUAGAGGGGGGUAGGAAGUUUCAGGUGUAGCGGUGAAAUAGCGUAGAGAUCUGAAGGAAUACCAGUGGCGAAGGCGGCCCCCUCGGACAAAGACUGACGCUCAGAUGCGAAAGCGUGGGGAGCAAACAGGAUUAGAUACCCUGGUAG